AGUCGGAAUUGCUAGUAAUCGCGGAUCAGCAUGCCGCGGUGAAUACGUUCCCGGGCCUUGUACACACCGCCCGUCACACCAUGGGAGCCGGUAAUACCCGAAGUCAGUAGUCCAACCUCGUGAGGACGCUGCCGAAGGUAGGAUUGGCGACUGGGGUGAAGUCGUAACAAGGUACC
rnacentral:rRNA from 1 species